CUUCAGGUCCCUGUUCGGGCGCCAGAUGUCGCAGCCCAAGACCCCCUUUGCCCGCAAAGGAGAGGACCG
ensembl:miRNA